AUUCCUUUUGUCUCAAAGUAUUUCAUGAUAAGAUACAGCACUGCAUAUGCUUGUUACUAUGCCCUGCUGGAAGAAUCAAGCCUCUGAGAAUCCCUGCAAUAAAUAAAUUUGCUUAACUUUUUAGCUCAGCAUUAUAAGAAUUUAUAUGACUAAUGAAGUCCUUUUAUUCUUUAGUGGAACAGUCCUAACAUUCCCACCCUGAUUGUUUCUCAAACACACUUGGGGAAACACUAAACUAGAGUGUCUGCAAGCUCCCUUCCAGACCUAAUCUAAUUCUAGGCUCAGUCCCCACUUUGUGGACUAAUGGCAAUGAACCCCAUCAUGGCCAAUUGCUAGAGAGUCUGAGAAUUUUUUAAAUGCAGUGCAAUUUUUUCCAGCCUCCAACAUUCAUAGGGACACAAAAGACCUCCCUCUCCCUAUUCUUCAUCCUCCCAAGUACACAGAAAGUAUCUAUAAUCACCAGAGAGAGUCCAGGGCCCUUAGUCAUGUAAAUCUACAUUCUUUAAGUGUGUUCUUGUUUGUGGUCCCUUGGUAGAUGUAGAUUAAAGCUCAGCCCUGAGUAAUUUGAAUAUAUAUGGAGUAAUGAUACUUUGCCUUGUCCAUCUCUUGCCUUUUGACAUCAAUACAAAUUAUACCUUUAAAAAAUCUACCCAAACACCAUAAUCUCCACCUUUAACUUCCCAACAACUCUCUCACAGAUUUUGUCAAGACUUUGCUGGCAAAUCUGUUUUAAAUCCCAAUUGCUCCCAUUUUUGCUCACUCCCACUUUUUUUAUUCUCUCGUAUACCCAGAGAACAACUGUCAGCUACCACCCAUAUAACAGUGGUUUCCAUAUUCAAAGUCUAAUUCUCCCUUAGCAUUCUGUUCUUCAUUUCAUUUACCAUUUCUUCUAGAAUUCCACCAUCCUAACUUCUAAUGGCUUUGAUUGCUUUUCUCUGGAUUUUCUCCAAGUUCUACAUCUCUCCCUUGAACUAAAGUUCCCAAUUUGAACACAGCGCUUCCAUGGAGAUAUGACUAAUAAUGCAUUGGCUCUUAAAUCUGGCUGAACAUCAGAAUCAUAUUUUUUGAAACUAUGGAUUACUGAGCCCACACAGCCAUGUACAAAACAUUAAAUUGUUAUUUUUGAUUCCUAUACUUGUUAAACAACAGGAUCCAAUUAAGCUAAAGAAGAGCUUCAGCCUAUUUUCUCACCACUUCUGUGAUCAUGAACAACCAGCCACAGUGGGUCUCCCUCCAGUAUUAACUUCCUUGGGUUGAUAAAGCUUUCAGGAAAGAGAGUUAUCAUAUCACAAAUACCACAAUGAUUUUUAUCUGAAUGGCUUCCUUCCAAAAUUCCAGAUCCAUCUAAACUUUUACUUCAUUGGAGGGUCCUUCCUGACCCAUGCAACUCAACAAAAAACUCUCACAGUUUUUAUAUGCUUUGUUGGGGAUUAACCCAUCUUGCAUUGCAUUGCUAGCUUAGUAUGUCUAGCAUGGGCAUGCCUGCUGAAGUUUGGAACUUCCCAUCAAGGAAACAGGAAAAUGCCAUUGGCAAUGAGCUGAAGACUGAUUUACUCUACCAGUUUGGAACAUCUGUUAUUGCUGCUACUACGGUUUCUAUCACUGUUUGAUGCUGGGACUCUUAAGCUCCAACCACGUUUUCACCGAGCUGAGUCGCCUUCUUAUCACCCCUUUCUGGAGCAGCAGGACAUCUGGGGAUGAGAAGAUGGAGAGAUCAUCCUUAUAUAAUGUUGCAGUCUGGAAGCAUCACUCUCAAAAAGCCAUUGUAGAGAAUCCAAGCCGAGUUUAAGAGUGCUGUGGAAAUACACUGCUGCUACUGCUGUUUCUAUUACUGUUUGAUGCUGGGACUCUUAUGCUCCAACCACGUUUUCACCCAGCUGAGUCGCCUUCGUAUCACGCCUUUCCAGUUUUGAUAGACUAGAAAAAUGACAAGACUCCAAGUCCUUGAAGAGGAGGAAAAGUGUGAAGAAAACAAAAAAGGGAGAUUUAUGUCUGCUUCACCAUUUUGCCCAAGACUUGACCUGUCAUACACUGAAGCUCAGAGAGGAAGAAAGGACCGUGUGAGAGAAGAAGGGAACAGCCUUUCAUCCAUAGGAGAAGUUCGUCUAUGACAAAGCCACUAGCUCCAUGUGGCCGCUGAGCACUCAAAAUGUGGCCAGUCUGAAUUGAGAUAUGUUGUUAGUAUAAAGUCCACAUCGGCUUUUUGAGCACUUUGUAUGAGAAAAAAGAAUACCAAAUAUCUCCUUAAUAAUUGUUACAUUGAUUAUAUGUUGAACUGAUAACAUUAUGGAUAUAUUGGAUUAAAUAAAAUAAAUUAUUAAAAUCAAAUAAAAAAUAAAAUCAAUUUCACCUGUUU
rnacentral:lncRNA from 10 species